CUUCACUGUGUGGGGCCCAACAAAUUCUCCAUAUGCAUUCUCAUACGUGACUUUCUUCUCUCUCAGGGCUACCCGAUAGCCCCAGUUCAGUGAGCCAAUGUAAUUCUGAACAGAUUCGGUCAUAGUCAUCCAGUUGUGUUUGACUUCUUCUGUAAAUUGCCAUCCAAAUUUGCGUGAAUCUUGCAAGGCUUGUCCCAGUAAAGCUGCCUGGUGCAUCAGCUUUUUUGGUAUACAGCCCACAUUUACACAUGUUCCUCCAAG
rnacentral:lncRNA from 1 species